UUUACCAUCAGUACUGGAAUGUGAAACAUAACUCAAAAGUGACACCGUCAUGACCAAGACAUAGUCGGUACGCCUUUUGUCGACUUCGAGAACCAAAGUAUCAGAUGCCCGUGACUCGUUAAGUAAUCCACUUGUGUCGAUGGUGAAGCAACCGAACAAGAAAACCUAGAAUCAAACUCCGACAAGGAAGGCCAUUGCCACCAAGAAAAAGGUCCAGAAAGUGACAACAACGAGGAAUCUGAAGUGAGAAGGGUUUAUCGAGUAGCUACUAGAAGGCCAUAGACGACCACUUUUCGAUGAUCUCAGACGACCCUAACGAGCUGGAGCCAGGGCAGGGUACCAUCACCUCCUGCAUACAAUGAUCCUCAGCUCACCUCCGUGACAACCAAUCGUCGGAGCUCACCUGGCUUGAACGAAAUAUGAAGCACAUCUCCACGACACCGUAGAGAUCCAGAGAACCAAACGCCAAAGCCCACUGCCAUCUCCGAGCUAGUUACUGCAUUGCCGCAACCGCCGAACAGAGGAGUCGAUCCGACAUCCCCGCAACUGAGAAUUGAGACCACGAGACAGAUCUAGGAAGGAAAAUAGAUCUGAACCAUACCCUAAAAGCCGAAUUCCUGCAAGAAACCGUGCCAUUCCUCUGUGCUUGAACUCCAGAGCAAGUGAAUCACCGCCGAUAUCAAGCAUCCUCGUGAGCGGAGAAAAUUCCAAAAUAAGAAACCCAGACCCAUAGUGGAGAGAAAGACGAAAGAGGUUGAGACACAGAAAAGGUGCAAAGCAGGAAGAGGCGAGGAGAGAAAUGAUGACUCCAAAUGGGUUUGUCCAGUUGGACAAUCUCAUUUCCUGGACAUGUAUAGUCAAAGCCCAAAUAGACUACGUCCAAACAAGACCAACCCUAAUUAACACCAUAACCUUAUGUAUCAUUCUUGACUUCAAAUGCUAAAAUACAUGGUCAAGCAUUGAUCCCUACAGACGCCAUUUGGUAACCUUAUCAUUAUCGACUCUUUAUUUACCAUCGCCGGUGAUAGCAUCGAGUGGGCCAAAGAUGAAAAUAGCAUGGAAGAGAAGAGCCGGCGUUCAACUGUUAAGUAUAAAGAAAAUGAUCUUCCGAAAAGAAGAAUAGCAUAAUAGUUACACCCCCUCUGCUUAAAAGUUGUGUUGACCAUGGUCUUAUAAGUCACCACUGUGACUGAUAAUUUACAUGAUUGAACUUUUGCUCUGUGCUGACUUACUAUAUUGGACUAUGGAUUUAUGCCUUUUGUUUUUUAAUUAAAUGACAGAAAGAAUGUGUUAUAUAUAUACACACAUAAGAUAUUUCUACAGA